UCCUGUGAUUUCGGUUUUCCGAAACCGAACCCAACCGAUUUUUUGGUUUUCGGUUAACCAAAAUUUUGGAAACAAAUUACGAAAAUAACCGUUUGAUUUAUCGGUUCGGUUCGGAUAUCGGUUAUUUUCAGAAUUAUGAAAUAUUUGAAAUUAACCGAUUUUGAAUAUAAAUUAAUUUGAAUUCGGAAAUUUUUGGUUAAUUAGGGUCGAAUCGCUUAAUUUCGGUUUUCAGUUAGUCGGUUAUUUUGGUUACUAAGUUUUUUUAAUUAAAUUGUUAUUUUGGUUCAUCGGUUAAUUUCGGUUAUCCUGUUAAAAAUUAUAAAAACCGAAUCAAACACACAAGAAAUUUAAAGACAAUGGAUCAUAUCUAAGACAUUCACUCGAUUGUUCAAAGUUCAAACCCGAUACAUUCCUUUCCCAAUCAUCAACAACAGUUCAUCAAACAUUUUGAAUCUAAGUCUCUUUGCAACAACCACACAUUCAAAGAGGCAAAGAGCCAUAGAUUCAAAUCAUAGAUUCACCAACAAUAGAGAAAGGUAACCUUAACUUAAGUAAAAUAAAUACAGAAAGAGAGCCAAAAAAGAACAGGCCAUCAACACCUUCACUCUCGCACU
rnacentral:lncRNA from 1 species